GCGGUGGUAGCUCAGUUGGUUAGAGUGCCGGCCUGUCACGCCGGGGGUCGCGGGUUCGAGCCCCGUCCGCCGCGCCA
rnacentral:tRNA from 1 species